rnacentral:rRNA from 1 species
GAGUUUGAUCGUGGCUCAGAACGAACGCUGGCGGCAGGCUUAACACAUGCAAGUCGAACGGCUGUAGCAAUACAGCAGUGGCAGACGGGUGAGUAACACGUGGGAACCUUCCUAGGGGUACGGAACAACUCAGGGAAACUUGAGCUAAUACCGUAUACGUCCGUGAGGAGAAAGAUUUAUCGCCCUUAGACGGGCCCGCGUCGGAUUAGGUAGUUGGUGGGGUAACGGCCUACCAAGCCUACGAUCCGUAGCUGAUCUGAGAGGAUGAUCAGCCACACUGGGACUGAGACACGGCCCAGACUCCUACGGGAGGCAGCAGUGGGGAAUCUUGGACAAUGGGCGCAAGCCUGAUCCAGCCACGCCGCGUGAGUGAAGAAGGCCUUAGGGUUGUAAAGCUCUUUUUGCCAGGGACGAUAAUGACGGUACCUGGAGAAUAAGCCCCGGCAAACUUCGUGCCAGCAGCCGCCGCGGUAAC